CCUACGGGAGGCAGCAGUGGGGAAUAUUGGACAAUGGGCGAAAGCCUGAUCCAGCAAUGCCGCGUGAGUGAAGAAGGCCUUCGGGUUGUAAAGCUCUUUUACCCGGGAAGAUAAUGACCGUACCGGGAGAAUAAGCCCCGGCUAACUCCGUGCCAGCAGCCGCGGUAAUACGGAGGGGGCUAGCGUUGUUCGGAAUCACUGGGCGUAAAGCGUGCGUAGGCGGCCAUUCAAGUCAGAGGUGAAAGCCCAGGGCUCAACCCUGGAACUGCCUUUGAAACUAGGUGGCUGGAACACGGGAGAGGUGAGUGGAAUUCCGAGUGUAGAGGUGAAAUUCGUAGAUAUUCGGAAGAACACCAGUGGCGAAGGCGGCUCACUGGACCGUUGUUGACGCUGAGGCACGAAAGCGUGGGGAGCAAACAGGAUUAGAUACCCUGGUAGUCCACGCCGUAAACGAUGAUAACUAGCUGUUGGGGCUCUUUGAGCUCCAGUGGCGCAGCUACGCAUUAAGUUAUCCGUCCGUCGGGUAGGUACGGUCCGCGAACGGUUAAAACGUAACGAAAGUAAGUAGUAGGACGCGUGAGUAGUUCGACGACGACGACGACGGAGGAGGAG
rnacentral:rRNA from 1 species